GAAUCUGAUGGUUUCUUUCUGAGGCCCUGAGACACUAGGUUCAUAUUAUGAUGCAGGUCUAGCUAUAGAGCUUUUGUACGCAUAUGAAAGUUCUUCAUGAUGUAACUCAUAGUUGCAUGAGUAACCAUGUGUUCUGGUUACUCACACACAUGGACAAGCAGUGGGAAAGGUGCUUCUGAAGCAAAGAGAGCCAUGGAGUGGCAAUCUGAGUUUCAGUCAGCUCUACAAGGCCAUGCACCAUAGAAGUCAAGAGGGAGCUGUCUGACUGCUGCGUGUGAUUGUACCCAUCUGUCAACAGAAUCAGAGAUCCGAAUGCAAACUGUAGCGCUCGGGAACACCGUGUGGGUUUCCAACACUCCCUGAAGGACACGAGGACCAUAAACCAGUGAAUGGAUUACAAUAAGGCAUAAAUAGAGCAUUUUUGUCUGUGACAGAUGUAACCCUGCUCUAACACUGCUCUACAUUUAUUUAAAGGAAAAUGGUCUCUAUUUCAAACCAGGUUUCUGAAUUUCAAAUGAGAAUAUCAGUUGUAACCAUUUUUCCAUGGGAAUAAUCGUAAGCCUCCUUUGGAGGUGGUUUGGCAGUGUUGUUUUGGAGGGCACAGGCCAUUAGCUCCCACAGAGCACCCCUUCCCCAGUGAGCACAAGACCAGAGAAGGGACUGCAGGCUUCUGCAUAUCUUGCCGCCCCAAGCAGGGAAAGGCUUGCUUUGCUGCCCUGGCUUGCCAUUUGAAGCCUGCAGCACCACGAGCCAGCCAGGCUGUAAAAGAGUUAUGAGGAAUAAUGUCCCAAAGCCAAGAAGCAGGUGUGAGACAUGCUUCUCACUUGUGCAGACAUAUGCUGCAAAAUGUUGCAACCUUUCCCGCAUAUUAUCUUAAUGUAUAGUCAUUAGGCAGGACAGAGAGGAGAGCGCACAUAUGGAAAACGUCUCUUAUUUGGAGACAGGAGCAUGUACUUCCCUUUGAUGCUGGCACAUGCAAGGAAAUACUGAUAUGCCAACUCCAAACUGCAGAUCACAACCUGAUAAAGAGACAAUCUCAAAGAAGGCAGGAAUUUUACCACGUUUUAGGUUACAAAUAUUUUUUUACGAAUUAUUCCCAGAAGCAACACAGCUGGAUCCUGGAUGACUGCAUCGGUAAGUCCUACCAGGGAAAUAACUUGAAAGACAGAGAUGUGGGAUGAAGGUUGUGCUAAGUUCAGGUAAUGUGGGCCUGUGGCAUUGUGUUAGCUCAUUCCUUGGACAGCCUUUGAUGUACUCACAGCUUUUAAGUCAGGAAAGGAAACAUGCAUGUCAAAUAGCUGGAUAAGAGGGUGUAGCUGAGUAGAAUAUUCAUAUCAGUAAAUGGCCAGAUUCUAACA